rnacentral:rRNA from 1 species
CAGUCGAACGGGCGUAGCAAUACGUCAGUGGCAGACGGGUGAGUAACACGUGGGAACGUACCUUUUGGUUCGGAACAACACAGGGAAACUUGUGCUAAUACCGAAUAAGCCCUUACGGGGAAAGAUUUAUCGCCGAAAGAUCGGCCCGCGUCUGAUUAGCUAGUUGGUAGGGUAAUGGCCUACCAAGGCGACGAUCAGUAGCUGGUCUGAGAGGAUGAUCAGCCACAUUGGGACUGAGACACGGCCCAAACUCCUACGGGAGGCAGCAGUGGGGAAUAUUGGACAAUGGGCGCAAGCCUGAUCCAGCCAUGCCGCGUGAGUGAUGAAGGCCCUAGGGUUGUAAGGCUCUUUUGUACGGGAAGAUAAUGACGGUACCGUAAGAAUAAGCCCCGGCUAACUUCGUGCCAGCAGCCGCG